GCUUAUGAGGGCAAUCUGGCUGUGACAUCUGUCACCCCAUUGAUCACCAGGGUUGAUUCGGCUGAUCUGGCUAGCGAGGCAGGUGUCCCCUUCCUCCCUCACCGCUGCAUGUGCGUCCCCCCCAAAGCUGCGCUCUAGGCCAAAGAGGACAACCGUUCUUCUUGGUCAAGGGUAUUCAAGUAGCUGUGCUCCUCUGCUAGAACCUCCAAACAAGCUCUCAAGGUGAUUUACUAACUAUUAUUUUAUAGAUAUAUGAUAAUCUUGAAAAUACAGUUUAAGUGGAAAAUGAACUUAAAUGU
rnacentral:snRNA from 1 species